GGAUCCGAAACAAUUAGGUCGGACUUUUAGAUCAUCCAUCUCCUAAAAUGGAUCUUAUAUAUUAUUUUGCAAAACCCUAGCAACCUUCAUCUGCAUUCUUUCUCAUCUCCAUUAACGAUUCAGCAGCAGGUUUUGCAAAACCCUAGACACAACCUUCACUUGCAUUCUCUCUUAUCUCUAUUCCUGAUUCAAGCCGUUCGAACGAUUCAGCAUCAGGUCCCCAAAGGAUGGGAUAAGCUUUCACUGUCCCUUAUAUCUGUAGAAACGGGAAAAGCAAUUGCCAAAACAGGUAGAUCAUUGGUACAAAAUGGUAAUUAUCAGUGGACUGAGAAUCUGUUAGUGUACAUUUGGGUUCCUCAUGAUGAUGCUUCAACAGGGCACGGGCAAAGCCUGCAUAAGCUUCUUAUUUUAAUGGGGUCCGGUAGAUCAGGCAUCCUUGGAGAAGUUACAGUAAAUUUGUCAAGUCACUUGAGUUCUGGGACUUCUACUACUGUUGCGGAACCACUAAAAAACUGUAGUCAUGAGACAAUCUUACAAUGGAAAUUCGGUGCCUAACACCAAGAGCAAAUAUGAGAAACGACAGAUGGACAGGCACUGAUUCUUUUGUAGAAGAUGCACAUUGAUUUGUUUUCUUGUGUUGGAUGUGCGCUUUUUUUGCGCAUUGAGUGAAGUUAAUGCUCUAAUUUUCUAUGUUUAUCCAGUUCUCAACAUUGGUUUUGAAAAGAAGGCCCUCCUAUAUGUAUAUUUAGUCUAGCAUUUUUUAAUGUUUUUUAUGUUAAUUAGUUGAUUUUUCUCUAAUUGAUAGGUUUUGAGGUGAUGCAGCAAGUGAACAACCAAGUGAAACAACUUCCUAUUCCUGUGUCGUCUAAUAUUAUGCAACAAGGAUGACAAAUGAUGUGAUAUGGAUUUGAAGUUGUUUUGUUCAGUGAUGGUGUUGUUAGGGUUGACGGUGAGUCGAUGACAAGGAGAAGAUGUAAGAGGUUUUGGACUACGUGGCUCAGAUCUUGUCUUCGUCUUUAUGAUAAGGUUGGGUACUUUUGAAGAUCAUGAACCAUUAAGGGGAAACAAGCACCUCCACUAUGCAAAGAGAAUGAUAGAAUCAAACAGUUGCAAAUUUAUCAUGAACAAUAAUGCAGAGGGAAGGUUUAACUUUCCAUCAAAUGUUCUGAGGUGAUGCAACAAGUGAACAACUUCCUAUUCUUGUGCUGUCUAAUAAUAUGCAACAAGGAUGACAUACUCAAAAUGUUUAUGUUAAAAGUCGGGAUUUUAAGCACAUUGGAUGAAUCAGAUUUACAUACAAUACAUGAAAGAACAAAGCAAAAGACAUAUAAAAGGGACAACUUUUUAUGAAGGCCGGUAUAUGACAAAAAUGGUUUUUAUUGUAUCUAAGAAAAUGGAGAACAUACGAGAAGAUGAAAAUAUAGUUAGACUGUAUGAGGAUCUAAGGGCCAUGUAUGCGGCGAACAACUUCUCAAAUGGUUUAUGCUUUUCUUAAGAUAUAUUUUGGUGUUGUUCAUGGUUGGACAGUGAGGUACAAGGAUUACAAUGAACGUGUUGUUAAAGGUGCAACAGAAGCGUUUCCUAUAUAGCUUUGUAUGCAGCAUGCAACUCUUCAUUAUGAUUCUUUGAUAAGUUCUGAGUUGUUGUUUUAAUGUUGCAUGUGGAAAAAAAAUACAAAAGAGUUUUGUUUUAUUAAAAAGUCAUAUAGACUAUCAAGCUUUAAAUCUAUUAUGAUAAUUAUCAA